rnacentral:rRNA from 1 species
CGCCGCUAUUCGGAUAUAACGAUGGAUUAUUUUGGACCAAACCAACAUUUGUUAUUGAAGUAGCAGACCUGGGAGUGCAUUCUGACGAAGACAACAAAAGGUAAUCAAACUUUUAUAAUAGUAAAUAUGAUUAUGGUGAGUGCUAAACUUGCCGGGUGUCUAAAUAGCGAGCCCGUGAUGCCUGGGCUAUGUACUUAGAAUAUUGCAAAAUGUGCUUUCACCAAAAAGCUAUUUUAAAAUCGGACAUAUCGAGUGCAUAGAGGAGGUCUGUAUCUAUAAUUCUUAAAAUAAUUGUUAUGCUUUUUGUGAACAUUUAUCGUGAGUAAUUUAGUAAAAUGUUAGCGAAUUCCCCGGAAAUCAAACCAAAAUGCACUUUUUCAAUACAUAAAAAUAACAGUCAGACAUAAACAAACAAACAGUUCAAAAGGUCAGAUCAGAUCCAAUGCUAGUUCUGAACGUCACAUGCUAAUGUAAAAAGCUGGUUUUUGAUAUAAAUAUGAACUUGAUUGAACAAAACAUGCAUGUAUUGUAUAACAUAAUGUCCUAGGGUUGUCAUCUGAUGAAGAUCAUCAAAGGUGAGUGCUGCAUUUAGUUGUCUUCUGACAAUUAAUCUGGAUGGUUGUACAGUCUUCUCAAAUAAAACUGUGAAGGACCUCGGCGUUACUCUGGACCCUGAUCUCUCUUUUGAAGAACAUAUCAAGACUGUUUCAAGGACAGCUUUUUUCCAUCUACGUAACAUUGCAAAAAUCAGAAAUUUUCUGUCCAAAAAUGACGCAGAAAAAUUAAUCCAUGCUUUUGUUACUUCUAGGCUGGACUACUGCAAUGCUCUACUUUCCGGCUACCCGGAUAAAGCACUAAAUAAACUUCAGUUAGUGCUAAAUACGGCUGCUAGAAUCCUGACUAGAACCAAAAAAUUUGAUCAUAUUACUCCAGUGUUAGCCUCCCUACACUGGCUUCCUGUUAAGGCAAGGGCUGAUUUCAAGGUUUUACUGCUAACCUACAAAGCAUUACAUGGGCUUGCUCCUACCUAUCUUUCCGAUUUGGUCCUGCCGUACAUACCUACACGUACGCUACGGUCACAAGACGCAGGCCUCCUAAUUGUCCCUAGAAUUUCUAAGCAAACGGCUGGAGGUAGGGCUUUCUCCUAUAGAGCUCCAUUUUUAUGGAAUGGUCUGCCUACCAAUGUGAGAGACGCAGACUCAGUCUCAACCUUUAAGUCUUUACUGAAGACUUAUCUCUUCAGUAGGUCCUAUGAUUAAGUAUAGUCUGGCCCAGGAGUGUGAAGGUGAACGGAAAGGCUGGAGCAACGAACCGCCCUUGCUGUCUCUGCCUUGCCGGUUCCCCUCUUUCCACUGGGAUUCUCUGCCUCUAACCCUUUUACAGAGGCUGAGUCACUGGCCUACUGGUGUUCUUCCAUGCCGUCCAUGGGAGGGGUGCGUCACUUGAGUGGGUUGAGUCACUGACGUGGUCUUCCUGUCUUGGUUGGCGCCCCCCCCCCCCCCCUUGGGUUGUGCCAUGGCGGAGAUCGUUGUGGGCUAUACUCGGCCUUGUCUUAGGACGGUAAGUUGGUGGUUGGAGACAUCCCUCUAGUGGUGUGGGGGCUGUGCUUUGGCAAAGUGGGUGGGGUUAUAUCCUGCCUGUUUGGCCCUGUCCGGGGGUAUCAUCGGAUGGGGCCACAGUGUCUUCUGAUCCCUCCUGUCUCAGCCUCCAGUAUUUAUGCUGCAGUAGUUUAUGUGUCGGGGGGCUAGGGUCAGUCUGUUACAUCUGGAGUAUUUCUCUUGUCUUAUCCGGUGUCCUGUGUGUAUUUAAAUAUGCUCUCUCUAAUUCUCUCUUUCUCUCUUUCUGUCUUUCUCUCGGAGGACCUGAGCCCUAGGACCAUGCCUCAGGACUACCUGGUAUGAUGACUCCUUGCUGUCCCCAGUCCACCUGGCCGUGCUGCUGCUCCAGUUUCAACUGUUCUGCCUGCGGCUAUGGAACCCUGACCUGUUCACCGGACGUGCUUGUUGCACCCUCGACAACUACUAUGAUUAUUAUUAUUUGACCAUGCUGGUCAUUUAUGAACAUUUUAACAUUUUAACAUUUUGACCAUGUUCUGUUAUAAUAUCCACCCUGCACAGCCAGAAGAGGACUGGCCACCCCUCAUAGCCUGGUUCCUCUCUAGGUUUCUUCCUAGGUUUUUGGCCUUUCUAGGGAGUUUUUCCUAGGGAGUUUUUCCUAGCCACCGUGCUUCUUUCACAUGCUUUGCUUGCUGUUUGGGGUUUUAGGCUGGGUUUCUGUACAGCACUUUGAGAAUAUCAGCUGAUGUACGAAGGGCUAUAUAAAAAUAAAUUUGAUUUGAUUUGAUUCUGGGUUUUGGUGACAUUAUAUGCUGGCUUGAAAAAUGGGUGUCUGAUUAUUUCUGGCUGGGUACUCUGCUGACAUAAUCUAAUGUUUUGCUUUCGUUGUAAAGCCUUUUUGAAAUCGGACAGUGUGGUUAGAUUAACGAGAGUCUUGUCUUUAA